rnacentral:rRNA from 1 species
GGUUAAGCGACUAAGCGUACACGGUGGAUGCCCUGGCAGUCAGAGGCGAUGAAGGACGUGCUAAUCUGCGAUAAGCGUCGGUAAGGUGAUAUGAACCGUUAUAACCGGCGAUUUCCGAAUGGGGAAACCCAGUGUGUUUCGACACACUAUCAUUAACUGAAUCCAUAGGUUAAUGAGGCGAACCGGGGAACUGAAACAUCUAAGUACCCCGAGGAAAAGAAAUCAACCGAGAUUCCCCAGUAGCGGCGAGCGAACGGGAGGAGCCCAGAGCCUGAAUCAGUGUGUGUGUUAGUGGAAGCGUCUGGAAAGGCGCGCGAUACAGGGUGACAGCCCCGUACACAAAAAUGCACAUACUGUGAGCUCGAUGAGUAGGGCGGGACACGUGGUAUCCUGUCUGAAUAUGGGGACCAUCCUCCAAGGCUAAAUACUCCUGACUGACCGAUAGUGAACCAGUACCGUGAGGGAAAGGCGAAAAGAACCCCGGCGAGGGAGUGAAAAAGAACCUGAAACCGUGUACGUACAAGCAGUGGGAGCCUCUUUUAUGGGGUGACUGCGUACCUUUGUAUAAUGGGUCAGCGACUUAUAUUCUGUAGCAAGGUUAACCGAAUAGGGGAGCCGAAGGGAAACCGAGUCUUAACUGGGCGUUAAGUUGCAGGGUAUAGACCCGAAACCCGGUGAUCUAGCCAUGGGCAGGUUGAAGGUUGGGUAACACUAACUGGAGGACCGAACCGACUAAUGUUGAAAAAUUAGCGGAUGACUUGUGGCUGGGGUGAAAGGCCAAUCAAACCGGGAGAUAGCUGGUUCUCCCCGAAAGCUAUUUAGGUAGCGCCUCGUGAAUUCAUCUCCGGGGUAGAGCACUGUUUCGGCAAGGGGUCAUCCCGACUUACCAACCCGAUGCAAACUGCGAAUACCGGAGAAUGUUAUCACGGGAGACACACGGCGGGUGCUAACGUCCGUCGUGAAGAGGAAACAACCCAGACCGCCAGCUAAGGUCCCAAAGUCAUGGUUAAGUGGGAAACGAUGUGGGAAGGCCCAGACAGCCAGGAUGUUGGCUUAGAAGCAGCCAUCAUUUAAAGAAAGCGUAAUAGCUCACUGGUCGAGUCGGCCUGCGCGGAAGAUGUAACGGGGCUAAACCAUGCACCGAAGCUGCGGCAGCGACGCUUAUGCGUUGUUGGGUAGGGGAGCGUUCUGUAAGCCUGUGAAGGUGUACUGUGAGGUAUGCUGGAGGUAUCAGAAGUGCGAAUGCUGACAUAAGUAACGAUAAAGCGGGUGAAAAGCCCGCUCGCCGGAAGACCAAGGGUUCCUGUCCAACGUUAAUCGGGGCAGGGUGAGUCGACCCCUAAGGCGAGGCCGAAAGGCGUAGUCGAUGGGAAACAGGUUAAUAUUCCUGUACUUGGUGUUACUGCGAAGGGGGACGGAGAAGGCUAUGUUGGUCGGGCGACGGUUGUCCCGGUUUAAGCGUGUAGGCUGGUUUUCCAGGCAAAUCCGGAAAAUCAAGGCUGAGGCGUGAUGACGAGGCACUACGGUGCUGAAGCAACAAAUGCCCUGCUUCCAGGAAAAGCCUCUAAGCAUCAGGUAACAUCAAAUCGUACCCCAAACCGACACAGGUGGUCAGGUAGAGAAUACCAAGGCGCUUGAGAGAACUCGGGUGAAGGAACUAGGCAAAAUGGUGCCGUAACUUCGGGAGAAGGCACGCUGAUAUGUAGGUGAAGCGACUUGCUCGUGGAGCUGAAAUCAGUCGAAGAUACCAGCUGGCUGCAACUGUUUAUUAAAAACACAGCACUGUGCAAACACGAAAGUGGACGUAUACGGUGUGACGCCUGCCCGGUGCCGGAAGGUUAAUUGAUGGGGUUAGCGGUAACGCGAAGCUCUUGAUCGAAGCCCCGGUAAACGGCGGUACGUAACUAUAACGGUCCUAAGGUAGCGAAAUUCCUUGUCGGGUAAGUUCCGACCUGCACGAAUGGCGUAAUGAUGGCCAGGCUGUCUCCACCCGAGACUCAGUGAAAUUGAACUCGCUGUGAAGAUGCAGUGUACCCGCGGCAAGACGGAAAGACCCCGUGAACCUUUACUAUAGCUUGACACUGAACAUUGAGCCUUGAUGUGUAGGAUAGGUGGGAGGCUUUGAAGUGUGGACGCCAGUCUGCAUGGAGCCGACCUUGAAAUACCACCCUUUAAUGUUUGAUGUUCUAACGUUGGCCCCUGAUCGGGGUUGCGGACAGUGUCUGGUGGGUAGUUUGACUGGGGCGGUCUCCUCCUAAAGAGUAACGGAGGAGCACGAAGGUUGGCUAAUCCUGGUCGGACAUCAGGAGGUUAGUGCAAUGGCAUAAGCCAGCUUGACUGCGAGCGUGACGGCGCGAGCAGGUGCGAAAGCAGGUCAUAGUGAUCCGGUGGUUCUGAAUGGAAGGGCCAUCGCUCAACGGAUAAAAGGUACUCCGGGGAUAACAGGCUGAUACCGCCCAAGAGUUCAUAUCGACGGCGGUGUUUGGCACCUCGAUGUCGGCUCAUCACAUCCUGGGGCUGAAGUAGGUCCCAAGGGUAUGGCUGUUCGCCAUUUAAAGUGGUACGCGAGCUGGGUUUAGAACGUCGUGAGACAGUUCGGUCCCUAUCUGCCGUGGGCGCUGGAGAACUGAGGGGGCUGCUCCUAGUACGAGAGGACCGGAGUGGACGCAUCACUGGUGUUCGGGUUGUCAUGCCAAUGGCACUGCCCGGUAGCUAAAUGCGGAAGAGAUAAGUGCUGAAAGCAUCUAAGCACGAAACUUGCCCCGAGAUGAGUUCUCCCUGAGACUUUAAGUCUCCUGAAGGAACGUUGAAGACGACGACGUUGAUAGGCCGGGUGUGUAAGCGCAGCGAUGCGUUGAGCUAACCGGUACUAAUGAACCGUGAGGCUUAACCUU